UACGAGGGGGGCGAGCGUUGUCCGGAAUUAUUGGGCGUAAAGGGCGCGUAGGCGGUUGGAUAAGUCUUGUGUGAAAUCUUCGGGCUCAACUCGAAGUCUGCACGAGAAACUAUCUGGCUUGAGUGUGGGAGAGGUGAGUGGAAUUCCUGGUGUAGCGGUGAAAUGCGCAGAUAUCAGGAAGAACACCCGUGGCGAAAGCGGCUCUCUGGAACGGUACUGACGCUGAGACGCGAAAGCGUGGGGAGCGAACAGG
rnacentral:rRNA from 1 species